AGAGUUAAAUAGUACGUGAAAUUGUUGAAAGGGAAACGAUUGAAGUCAGUCAUGCCGGCGGGAAUCAACUUGGGGGAAACUCUAAGUGCACUUCACGUUUGGCAAGUCAACGUCGAUUUUGGAUGUCAUAAAAUGAUUGGGGGAAGGUAGCUCUUUCGAGAGUGUUAUAUCCCUUAGUAGAUGUGAUGUCUGGGAUCGAGGAUUGCAACGGAUACCCUUUGGGCUAGCCACCUGAUCUCUAACUGAUGUUGGGUUACGGACAGCAUGCUGACCGUGAUUUAAUUAUUGGUUAAAAGGUUAGAGUGAGUAUAAAUUCGUUAAGGACGCUGACGUAAUGGCUUUAAACGACC
rnacentral:rRNA from 1 species